rnacentral:rRNA from 1 species
UACGUAGGGGGCAAGCGUUGUCCGGAUUUAUUGGGCGUAAAGCGCUCGUAGGCGGUUUGGUAAGUCGGAUGUGAAAUCUCCAGGCUCAACCUGGAGGGGUCAUUCGAUACUGCCAUGACUAGAGGUCGGUAGGGGAGUGUGGAAUUCCUGGUGGAGCGGUGAAAUGCGCAGAUAUCAGGAGGAACACCCGUAGCGAAGGCGGCACUCUGGGCCGAUUCUGACACUGAGGAGCGAAAGCGUGGGGAGCGAACAGG